rnacentral:rRNA from 1 species
AGUGAACGCUGGCGGUAGGCCUAACACAUGCAAGUCGAACGGCAGCACAGUAAGAGCUUGCUCUUACGGGUGCGAGUGGCGGACGGGUGAGGAAUACAUCGGAAUCUACUUUUUCGUGGGGGAUAACGUAGGGAAACUUACGCUAAUACCGCAUACGACCUACGGGUGAAAGCAGGGGAUCUUCGGACCUUGCGCGAUUGAAUGAGCCGAUGUCGGAUUAGCUAGUUGGCGGGGUAAAGGCCCACCAAGGCGACGAUCCGUAGCUGGUCUGAGAGGAUGAUCAGCUACACUGGAACUGAGACACGGUCCAGACUCCUACGGGAGGCAGCAGUGGGGAAUAUUGGACAAUGGGCGCAAGCCUGAUCCAGCCAUACCGCGUGGGUGAAGAAGGCCUUCGGGUUGUAAAGCCCUUUUGUUGGGAAAGAAAAGCAGCAGGUUAAUACCCCGCUGUUCUGACGGUACCCAAAGAGUAAGCACCGGCUAACUUCGUG